rnacentral:rRNA from 1 species
UACGAAGGGGGCUAGCGUUGUUCGGAUUUACUGGGCGUAAAGCGCACGUAGGCGGAUCGAUCAGUCAGGGGUGAAAUCCCAGAGCUCAACUCUGGAACUGCCUUUGAUACUGUCGAUCUGGAGUAUGGAAGAGGUAAGUGGAAUUCCGAGUGUAGAGGUGAAAUUCGUAGAUAUUCGGAGGAACACCAGUGGCGGAGGCGGCUUACUGGUCCAUUACUGACGCUGAGGUGCGAAAGCGUGGGGAGCAAACAGG